GACGAACGCUGGCGGCGUGCCUAAUACAUGCAAGUAGAACGCAGUUUCGAACGGGGGAGUAACGCGUAGGUAACUGCCUCAUAGCGGGGGAUAACUAUGGGAAACGAUAGCUAAUACCGCAGACAGUGAGAUGGACCUGAGUGGUUGUUGCUAGUUGGGGAGGGAAAGGCUCACCAAGGCGAAGAUCCAUAGCCGACGUGAGAGGGUGAUCGGCCAAACCUGGACCUAGACACGGCUCAGACUCCCACCGGAGGCCGCAGGAGGGAAUCUUCGGAAAUGGACGGCAAUCUGACCGCGCAACGCCGCGGGGGUGAAGAAGGGUUUCGGAUCGUAAAGCUCUGUUGUGAGAGAAGCGGUAACUAACCAGAAAGCGACGGCUAACUACGUGCCAGCAGCCGCGGUAAUAC
rnacentral:rRNA from 1 species